GGUUGCCAUCAUACCAGCACCAAUGCACCGUAUCCCAUCAGAACUCCGCAGUUAAGCGUGCUUGGGCGAGUGUAGUACUAGGAUGGCUGACCCACUGGGAAGUCCUCGUGUUGCAACCC
rnacentral:rRNA from 1 species